UACAGAGGGGGCAAGCGUUGUUCGGAAUUACUGGGCGUAAAGGGCGCGUAGGCGGCCCGCUAAGUCGAACGUGAAAUCCCCGAGCUCAACUCGGGAACUGCGUCCGAUACUGGCGGGCUUGAAUCCGGGAGAGGGAUGCGGAAUUCCAGGUGUAGCGGUGAAAUGCGUAGAGAUGUGGAGGAACACCGAUGGCGAAGGCAGCCCCCUGGGUCAACACUGACGCUCAUGCACGAAAGCGUGGGGAGCAAACAGG
rnacentral:rRNA from 1 species